AUUGCUACGCUAUUGACUGUUAUUUUUUUUUUAAAUAACUAUUAGCAAUUGCUACUUUACCGGCAUGUUUUUUUCUUGAAAUAAAUUGCUACACUAUCGGCUGGUCUAGUUUUCCCCGGAAAGAACACACUUAGUGCUACAUAGUAGACUAAGUAGCCAUAUUACAUAAAGAAUCAAAUUCAGAACUGAUGUGGAUAUACACCAAGCUCAAGAGAUAGCUAGUAGUCACCGCCACUUCGUAUACACCAUUUCUCUCGACGAGUUUCCAGUAAUGUAUAUGCUAGAUAGGGGAGUAUUAGUUUUCUUAGGUUUUGUUGAUGUUUAAAGUGUGUAUUUAUUUAUAUAACUUCGACGUUUUGAAACAGAAUAUUCUACCACUAAUCACUAGGCCAUCAUACUUUUGGUAUGCUUGCCAUUCAUGCAAUUGGUAUACUUGUUGAUACGUUCUGUUCUUUAUUCAUGGUUUGGUCUUAAUAGAAAACUCUUCUAUAUGACGCUUGAGUCUCUUAUGGCUUUUUAAAGGAUUCUUAGCCCAUGUGCAACGUAAGAAACUUUUGCAACGAGUACUCUCUUCUUUUCUUUUGCUUCCGUUAUGAUUCAGUAUUUUCUAUGUUUGCUUUACUUUUAUUAUGACUAGUUAGCAAUUAUGAUAUGGACGCAACCAAAACAGUAUAUCUACCUUCUUCUUCCAUAUGUGUUGUAUUUUUACUUGUUUCUCCACGUGAGUUUGUUAAGCGUCACUUUAUUUCUCAUUUUUAGGAUGUGCCAGAGGCUUAAGCUCUUGCAGAUAAAUAUGGAAUCAAAGUUUCGUGAGACCGUAUGUCAUGGCUCUGGAAUAUACGCAGCGUUGAUCAAUUUCAUUGGCUGACUUUUAUGGAUUUCUCUUACAAAGUACCAAGACGACUCUGAACGUAGAGGAAUUUUAUUCUUUUCAACUGCUAAAUAUAUUUAUUAAAUGAUUGCAGAUGCAGUCUUAUCACGCGGUACACUUAAGGCUCAGGGAGGUUUUAAAGCAUCCAAUUUCUAGAGGACGUCAAGUUUUUAUAACGCCCGACUGUCCACGCCUAAUGGGCCACCUACGCUUGCUCUCUGGACCCGUGGGUCCCAUCUCGUGUUUACUGUCCCUGCAAUCAACAUAUGACUUUCUCCUGUAUUUUGGCUUCACUCGCACAGUAUCACGAAUCACUUUCCGAUAGGUCACCCAUCUUUUUUUUUUUUUUUUUUCACCCAUCCUUUCACUACUGCAUUCUAAGCACGCUUAAUUUUAGAGUUCUAAACGGAUGUGUGAAGAAAAAGAUAAAUCAAUUUUGAUGACAUAGGUAAUCAAAUCAAGUUUCUUAAACAUUUUCAUAUAUCAUAAGUCGGGAUGCUACAGUUUUACUAAGAGUAAGUCUGGGAUUAUUAUCAACUAUUCUUACUGUGUUUAAACCUAUACGAGUCUCUCUCAUCCUCGCUGAUGAGUGAUGCCUAAAAGUAGUAUAGGCAAUUAGUGUAUACGAACCAAACAAAUAUGAUUUGCUAAAAAAAUUGUUUCCCAUAAGUAUUAUUAGAACUAUUUUCUUUGAUUGCGUUAGUUGACGUCCAAGCAAAAAUCAGACGAUCCAUAAAUCACCAAUUAUGCCAAUUUUUUCACCUAGGCAUUGGGGAUUUACGAUAACAACUACUAGUUUCGUCCAUAUCUAUGUUUUUCUUUAACCAUACCUAAUGAUUCAGUAAAAAAUAAAAAGUAGACAGGUUAGGAUUGUUGAAACUUCUUUUGGUAUGUGAUUGGAAAUGAUUUGUACGUCUCCUGUGAUGGGUCCACCUUUUAAUUUUGUCACAAUGCAUUAAUAAGUGAUGCCUAUUCGUUGCUUUAUAGUUCCUGGAUCAAGACCACGAAGAUCUUGAGUUACUUGCAUCUCCUAAUUCUCUUUUAUUUUUGCCAGUUAUAUAUAUAUAUAUAUAUAUAUAUAUAUAUAUAUAUAUAUAUAUAUAUAUAUAUAUAUAUAUAUAUAUACAUAUAUUAAGCAAAGCUAAAUAUUUAUUAGCAUUUAGAUGAGCAUAAAUUACUUUCACACAAUAUCCAUUUCUUUUUAAACACGAAUAAACCAAUUAGAAUCUAUAUAUCUUAAAAAAUUAUGAAUGAGCUUUUCUCAUGAUUAGUGCUACAACAUAAAUCUAUAAGGAAUCUCUUGUGUCAUAAUUAAGAUUAUUCAUUAUUUAUCAAAAAUGAUAAUGCGUGGUGAUUAUAGAUAAGAGCGAAAGAAGCAUGAAGGUUAAUUACAUCUGAUGAAGAACGCACCGAAGAAAUAAAGCUGCAAGUGGCCAUAAGACUGAUGUCUGAGUCGACUUACACCAUUUAUAUAUCGAUAGACACAUUCCAAAGUAGUGUUCCGACCAAUCACCAACUACUUCACUUAGAUCUGUUCGCCAUAUCUCACACAUUUUCGUCUUCUCUCAUCCUUCUACUUACUAAAAUUGGGCUUUUUUCUACCGUAUUUUAAUUUGUAACUUCAUUUCAACUACUCUAAAAUAACUUCAUUUUAUUAGGAAGUACUAGUUUCUAAAGACUAGAGGGUUUUUAAACUCGACGAAUUUUAUGAAGAUAAAUAAUUAUGAAAAAUAUGGCAGUGGCAGAUCAAUAUUGUAGAUGUUUCUCCU